AAAUUGAAGAGUUUGAUCAUGGCUCAGAUUGAACGCUGGCGGCAGGCCUAACACAUGCAAGUCGAACGGUAACAGGAAACAGCUUGCUGUUUCGCUGACGAGUGGCGGACGGGUGAGUAAUGUCUGGGAAACUGCCUGAUGGAGGGGGAUAACUACUGGAAACGGUAGCUAAUACCGCAUAACGUCGCAAGACCAAAGAGGGGGACCUUCGGGCCUCUUGCCAUCGGAUGUGCCCAGAUGGGAUUAGCUUGUUGGUGGGGUAACGGCUCACCAAGGCGACGAUCCCUAGCUGGUCUGAGAGGAUGACCAGCCACACUGGAACUGAGACACGGUCCAGACUCCUACGGGAGGCAGCAGUGGGGAAUAUUGCACAAUGGGCGCAAGCCUGAUGCAGCCAUGCCACGUGUAUGAAGAAGGCCUUCGGGUUGUAAAGUACUUUCAGCGGGGAGGAAGGGAGUAAAGUUAAUACCUUUGCUCAUUGACGUUACCCGCAGAAGAAGCACCGGCUAACUCCGUGCCAGCAGCCGCGGUAAUACGGAGGGUGCAAGCGUUAAUCGGAAUUACUGGGCGUAAAGCGCACGCAGGCGGUUUGUUAAGUCAGAUGUGAAAUCCCCGGGCUCAACCUGGGAACUGCAUCUGAUACUGGCAAGCUUGAGUCUCGUAGAGGGGGGUAGAAUUCCAGGUGUAGCGGUGAAAUGCGUAGAGAUCUGGAGGAAUACCGGUGGCGAAGGCGGCCCCCUGGACGAAGACUGACGCUCAGGUGCGAAAGCGUGGGGAGCAAACAGGAUUAGAUACCCUGGUAGUCCACGCCGUAAACGAUGUCGACUUGGAGGUUGUGCCCUUGAGGCGUGGCUUCCGGAGCUAACGCGUUAAGUCGACCGCCUGGGGAGUACGGCCGCAAGGUUAAAACUCAAAUGAAUUGACGGGGGCCCGCACAAGCGGUGGAGCAUGUGGUUUAAUUCGAUGCAACGCGAAGAACCUUACCUGGUCUUGACAUCCACAGAACUUUCCAGAGAUGGAUUGGUGCCUUCGGGAACUGUGAGACAGGUGCUGCAUGGCUGUCGUCAGCUCGUGUUGUGAAAUGUUGGGUUAAGUCCCGCAACGAGCGCAACCCUUAUCCUUUGUUGCCAGCGGUCCGGCCGGGAACUCAAAGGAGACUGCCAGUGAUAAACUGGAGGAAGGUGGGGAUGACGUCAAGUCAUCAUGGCCCUUACGACCAGGGCUACACACGUGCUACAAUGGCGCAUACAAAGAGAAGCGACCUCGCGAGAGCAAGCGGACCUCAUAAAGUGCGUCGUAGUCCGGAUUGGAGUCUGCAACUCGACUCCAUGAAGUCGGAAUCGCUAGUAAUCGUGGAUCAGAAUGCCACGGUGAAUACGUUCCCGGGCCUUGUACACACCGCCCGUCACACCAUGGGAGUGGGUUGCAAAAGAAGUAGGUAGCUUAACCUUCGGGAGGGCGCUUACCACUUUGUGAUUCAUGACUGGGGUGAAGUCGUAACAAGGUAACCGUAGGGGAACCUGCGGUUGGAUCACCUCCUUACCUUAAAGAAGC
rnacentral:rRNA from 1 species